rnacentral:rRNA from 1 species
GCUGAUUCCUCCUUUCUGAAGAACUGUAAUGUCAUUAAUUUGGUGUUGCAGGGAAACAGGACUGUUACUUUGAAAAAAUUAGAGUGUUUAAAGCAGGCUAACGCUUGAAUACAUUAGCAUGGAAUAAUGAAAUAGGACGUUCGAUCCUAUUUUGUUGGUUUCUAGGAUUGGCGUAAUGAUUAAUAGGGGUAGUUGGGGGCAUUAGUAUUCAAUUGUCAGAGGUGAAAUUCUUGGAUUUAUUGAAGACUAACUACUGCGAAAGCAUUUGCCAAGGAUGUUUUCAUUAAUCAAGAACGAAAGUUAGGGGAUCGAAGACGAUCAGAUACCGUCGUAGUCUUAACCAUAAACUAUGCCGACUAGGGAUCGGAUGAUGUUAAUUUUUUAAUGACUCAUUCGGCGCCUUACG